AGUCAAAAAAGAAAAGCUGCUGAACAAUCCCUCAGCCUGCUCAGUUAAACCAAGACACGCGAGGCACCGGACAACCGGCCACCAAACCUAUGCCUAACUUAGAACCGCCACCCAAUGCAAUACAAACAAAAUACGUUGAGGCACCGAGUGGCGCUACCAACGUUACUCCUCCUCCGCAGAUUUUUGCGACUGUACAGCAGCGCCAGCACAUAUGUUUUUUUUUCUUCUAAUCCACACAAGCAGACCUUCGCUUGAAUGCGGACCGCGAACUGUCGCGAGAGGGAGAUUUCAACUUAAUGUUCAAGACAUUUCAACACGAACGAUGCGGGCACUUUAUUAAAUGCAACGUUUUCAUGUAGGUAACGGUGCGUGCGAACGACUUGAAAGUCAGGCUGUUAACACACUGCGUCAGCUUAUGGACACUACUCCGAGGCACGUGUUGUAGCACCGCAAUGCUCACCGACCACUGCAGAAACUGAGCCACCACAUGUAUCGGAGCUUUCCUCUUGAACUUUGAGUGACAUCGUCCAAGUCUGCAACUUGCAACAUUGCGAGUAGAGCUAUGAACCGGCGUCGCCGCAUGAUCCCUGGUGGGAGCAGACCGCUGUACAGAUCUCCUACGUUCCAAUACAGCUUCAGCCGAGGAACCUUCACAACGCCCAUGUAAAUUACGAGUCCGAUAAACUUUAGCAUUUCACUUGG